rnacentral:lncRNA from 1 species
UAAAAAUAUUAUUGGCUUUAUAACUUUUAAAUCAUCGAGAUUCUUGUUAAACUUUACAAAGUAGACAUAGCUAAUUACUCACAAUGACUCGGGAUAUACAGAGUAUCGCAGCAAAAUGCGAACAGACUAUAUGUAUGAAGACAUAUAGCCUAGAGUAAAUUUCUUGAUUAAGUUCAAAAUAAACUUCAACAUCUUGAUGUUACCGCAAGGAAUAUAAUUACGGUAUAAUGAAGAUUAUCUCAAACAAAAUCCCUGCCAGCACCAGUCCAAUCUCUCUCCUCGCUUAUCCUGCACGUUUAGAAAUACAUGCAGGGCUGAGUACAGAAUACUCAGUGGACAUAAGCCGAAAAGCAAUGAAAACUAGCUCUUAGAGCUAUAGAUUGAACUUGCCACAUAAGCAAUACACGAGAAUUUUACUCAAAGAACCCGUGUAAGCAGUUAACAAUCAUAAACAUCAUAAAUAAAUGACCGGUCAAAAUUCUCGUUAUGUAUGUACCACAUCUACGAAUCAUCAUCAUAAAAGGUACUGAGAAGUAGGCCUCCUUCUCAAGUAGCGUGACCGGCCGACCCGAAGGACAGCUCACAAUCACCUCUGACCGGCUGACCCGAAAGACGGCUCACGGUCACCUCUGUGUACACAAUCCCGCUUGUAGCAGGACCCGAAUUCGUCUCAUCAGUAGAGGGUGACAUACAGGCUCAUCGUCAUCAAAACUCGGCAAGUCAAUUAGUUCAACAUCAAUAAAUCUCAAAUUAUUUAUCAAACUCAUAAACAUCAUCAUCAGUAAUGAUUUUCAUCAAACUGAAAUUUAACAGUUAACUCAUAUCAUUUACUUCAUUUCGUAUAAGAGGCCUACGAUACGCAGGUGAUCUCUAUAUACGUAUAGUAAAAAUAAUGCUCACCUGAUGUCCUAGCUUACUCUCGUAGCGUUCGGGGUGGACUCACUGCCGUUCUCUGCUCGUAUCUUCAGAUACCAUCACAUCAGAGUAGUUCAUGAUAAGAAUAAAAGAGAUUAGUCAGAAACUUCCUGACUAAGAAUACCAUUCCUAUCUUAGUACUAUUUCAUCUCCUCAUCACUACACUCCGUCUAUCUCGAUCUCACAUCGUAAACACUUUCUAAGUAAUCACUAUUAUAUUCUCAACUUAUCACCUAAUUUAGGUCUAGGCUCUGUCAAGGAACAACUCAUAGAUAAACAAUCCAUAAGCAUAUAGCAAUCACAUACACAACUCAUUUUUUUUUUUAAAAAUAAAAUAUUUUUAGUCGGGGAAAUUUCCCAAAAAUCUAUUUUAUAAAUCAUUCUUAAACCAAUUAUUCAAAAAUUAACUCACAUAACAAGUUAUGCCAUUUUAUUUCAUUUUUCAUGUAUAAGCUCAAUUCAUCCUCACUAAGCCACAUAUAGGCAUCUUUAAUUCAUAUCUCAUCUCAUAAUCAAAAUCUUAUUCAAUUCACUCUUUCUGCACUGUCUUAACUUAAGAGAAUAAACUGUUUCUCCUCGGAACUAUCCUGGGUUCGAGACUCAUACUAUUGGAAACCCCUUUAAGUCUAGUUUCAUUUAAAAAAAAGUAGGUUGAAAAAAUCCAAGUGGUUUAAGAGAUAUGACCGUUUUCCCACAGCCUACCAUAUUCGGCAGUUUUGUGCAACUGGAAGUUUUGAUUUUUGAAAAAUAGUAGAUCUUGUCAUAAUGACUUGAAAUUUUGUGGGUAGCUAGCUAACAUGUUCAUCUAGUUCAUAUAAAAAUUUGGAAACUAUAAACUCAGGGGAAGCUACUGAAAAGGGUGACUCUAGUAACUGUUUCUUCCAAACUUUCGGUGGAAAGUUGCAGUUGGAGAUUUAUAUUUUAAAAUGGUAGUAAACGAUGUCCAAAUGACCUCAAAUUUUACAUGAACGUUCCUAACACUUAUAUAUACUUACCAUAAAAUUUUAAAGAUUUUUGGUAUACGUUCCUAACACUUAUAUAUACGUUCCUAACCCUGUCGAAUUACAUCAAGUCAGUAGCUCUGUAAGCUAGCCAAAUUAACUCAUCAAACUGCCCACUUAUGCAUGAUAGCCAACUAUACCCUAUUUCUCAUCAAAGUAAUUUAUUUCAAUCUCCAUCAAUCAUCUCUAAUCAUCAUUCUAAUCCAUUAAAUAUCAUCUCAACAAUCUCAAUAGCUCAUAUUCAUAACCAAAUCAACAAUCCAUCCAUGAACUUCAAACUUCUCAAAAUCAUGUAAACUAACUCAUCUAAAAAUUCACAUAUCAAUUUAAAUCCAUCCUUUGCAUGUAGAAAUGGACUAAAUAGGAUCUCAAUAGUAUGAAUAUAUUCUCAAUAUAAGAUUAGAAGAUGAAUUUUUUUUGAAGGGGUAUGAACCCUAAUUUUCGAAAAUUGCAAGAAUGAAGUGGGUGAUGUUUUCUUGCUUGAUCUAUCAAUAUAUACUCAUAUCUAACUCAAAUGAUCUAAGUAAAUCUAAUACUUACUCAAUGAUUCUUGAGUAGAAAAAUAAAAUCCUCCUCUUGACUUCAAGCUUUAGAAUCCUUCAAAUGUGCUCUUGAUUCAAGGAUAUAAGGUGUUUAAAGCUUGCUCUAAUGAUGUUUGUUGGUGUAGAAUUAAUCUAAGAAGCUUGGAACAUGAUCAACAAUGGAGGAAGAAAGAGAAAAGAGUGAGAGAGGGGGGAGAGGCGUGAGGUUUGGGAAGAAUGAGAGAGAUAAAUUAUUUUGUUCAUAAUCCCAAACUUGGUCACUAGGCUAGACAUUUAAUUAAUGCUCAAUAAAUGCU